rnacentral:tmRNA from 1 species
GGGGCUGAUGUGGUUUCGACAUGGUGCGUAUGUCCAGGGUGCAUGUCGUGAGCGGUGAGUGAUCACGUAAAUCAACCUUACCAAUGCUUAAUUGCAAACGACGAAAACUACGCACUAGCAGCUUAAUAACCUGUCUAGCGCCCUUCCACCUAAGUAUGCCUGUAGACUGGGGCUCGGAAGGUCAUCCCAUACAGGAUCGCGAUGGAUACCUUGCCAGGGGUUGAAGCGUUAAAACUAAUCUGGCUCGCUCAUGAAAAUCCUGUCUGUCGGAGUUUCUACGAGUUAAUUAAAAGACUAGACUAAACAUGUAGAUCGUUGGUUCGGAAACAUUGUGGACGCGGGUUCGAGUCCCGCCAGCUCCACCA